rnacentral:rRNA from 1 species
UACAGAGGGGGCAAGCGUUGUUCGGAAUUACUGGGCGUAAAGGGCGCGUAGGCGGCCUGCUAAGUCGAACGUGAAAAUCCCCCGGGCUCAACCCGGGAACUGCGUCCGAUACUGGCAGGCUUGAAUCCGGGAGAGGGAUGCGGAAUUCCAGGUGUAGCGGUGAAAAUGCGUAGAUAUCUGGAGGAACACCGGUGGCGAAGGCGGCAUCCUGGACCGGCAUUGACGCUGAGGGCGCGAAAAGCCAGGGGGAGCAAAACGGG